rnacentral:rRNA from 1 species
GAUGAACGCUAGCGGGAGGCCUAACACAUGCAAGCUGAGCGGUAGAGAUCUUUCGGGAUCUUGAGAGCGGCGUACGGGUGCGGAACACGUGUGCAACCUGCCUUUAUCAGGGGGAUAGCCUUUCGAAAGGAAGAUUAAUACCCCAUAAUAUUUUGAAUGGCAUCAUUUAAAAUUGAAAACUCCGGUGGAUAGAGAUGGGCACGCGCAAGAUUAGAUAGUUGGUAGGGUAACGGCCUACCAAGUCAGUGAUCUUUAGGGGGCCUGAGAGGGUGAUCCCCCACACUGGUACUGAGACACGGACCAGACUCCUACGGGAGGCAGCAGUGAGGAAUAUUGGACAAUGGGUUAGCGCCUGAUCCAGCCAUCCCGCGUGAAGGACAACGGCCCUAUGGGUUGUAAACUUCUUUUGUAUAGGGAUAAACCUUUCCACGUGUGGAAAGCUGAAGGUACUAUACGAAUAAGCACCGGCUAACUCCGUGCCAGCAGCCGCGGUAAUACGGAGGGUGCAAGCGUUAUCCGGAUUUAUUGGGUUUAAAGGGUCCGUAGGCGGAUCUGUAAGUCAGUGGUGAAAUCUCACAGCUUAACUGUGAAACUGCCAUUGAUACUGCAGGUCUUGAGUAAAGUAGAAGUGGCUGGAAUAAGUAGUGUAGCGGUGAAAUGCAUAGAUAUUACUUAGAACACCAAUUGCGAAGGCAGGUCACUAUGUUUUAACUGACGCUGAUGGACGAAAGCGUGGGGAGCGAACAGGAUUAGAUACCCUGGUAGUCCACGCCGUAAACGAUGCUAACUCGUUUUUGGGUUUUCGGAUUCAGAGACUAAGCGAAAGUGAUAAGUUAGCCACCUGGGGAGUACGUUCGCAAGAAUGAAACUCAAAGGAAUUGACGGGGGCCCGCACAAGCGGUGGAUUAUGUGGUUUAAUUCGAUGAUACGCGAGGAACCUUACCAAGGCUUAAAUGGGAAUUGAUCGGUUUAGAAAUAGACCUUCCUUCGGGCAAUUUUCAAGGUGCUGCAUGGUUGUCGUCAGCUCGUGCCGUGAGGUGUUAGGUUAAGUCCUGCAACGAGCGCAACCCCUGUCACUAGUUGCCAUCAUUAAGUUGGGGACUCUAGUGAGACUGCCUACGCAAGUAGAGAGGAAGGUGGGGAUGACGUCAAAUCAUCACGGCCCUUACGCCUUGGGCCACACACGUAAUACAAUGGCCGGUACAGAGGGCAGCUACACAGCGAUGUGAUGCAAAUCUCGAAAGCCGGUCUCAGUUCGGAUUGGAGUCUGCAACUCGACUCUAUGAAGCUGGAAUCGCUAGUAAUCGCGCAUCAGCCAUGGCGCGGUGAAUACGUUCCCGGGCCU